GUGCCUGGGUUUUUAUGAAGUCUUUGGAAAGAUUUAAUUAAAACUGUUUUCUCGAUUUCAUCUUCUGCAGAAAUGGUCUUUUAAAGGUUCUACCCAUGGGCUAUUGUUUAUCCAAUUUAAGGUAUUUAAAUGCAGAAUAUUAUUCUGGUGUAUUUAUUCUGUAGAAAUCUAGGCUUAAUUUUUUGCCUAAACAGUUCGGUGUUAUGUGGAGGAGAUGCAGUCCACGUUCUGCAACUGAUAUGAGAGGUGAGAUUGAAAUGAGUUUGACUGUCUUCUGCAUUUUAUCUAAAGCCUGCAGGUAACUUGGCCUUGUUGUGUCUGAACAUCAUAAGUAUAUAUUAUUUUUCUAUUAAAACAUUUUCAUACAUAUCACUGUCAUUUAUACUGUUCUGUAUUUAACUAAAAUAUGUUUUCCUCCUUGAUAUUUUCUCUAGUUGUGGUCACUGUGCUUCUAUUCGGUUUUUCUAUACAAGCUAUUCACUCAAUCUCUAGUGCUUGCUUUCAGGGUUUGUUUAUGAAUUGAAUAUUGUGAUGUUUCUAGGUGUUCCCACAAGUGCAACAUGAAGGCUUACCUGUUGCAUUUCCAUUUCACCAGCACUCAGAUUCCCCAAGUUUCUCAAAUCACAGCUGACGAUUCAGCCAAACCAUGAAGUUACCUGUGCUGGUGCUGUAAUGAAAACACCCACUGCUCUCCUGUGCUGGAAAUCCCAUUGACAGACUCGGUUACCCACAGCUCUUUUCCCCAUACAUCAUCCUGGUUUCACAGACUCCUCUGCUUCAGGGAAUUUCUCACCACAAACACAACUGACUUUCCCUACUGAAAAUUGAGCUGCAGCAAAUAUCUUACAUGGUCAAUUCUGUUCACCCACAAAAUAUGACUGGCCUUUUCCUCAGAUCCCAGUCAAUGCCUUCUCCUUUUAAUUUGCUCUGCUUUCUACCUUACAUUUAUUUAUUUCUGCAGCCAUAUUCCCAGGUCAUUCCCUAGCCCUGUUCAAAGAGAUCGGGUUUGCAUCUCCCUAGUGCAGGAUGUCUCCAAAGUCAGCAGCUCUUUCUUUGGAUAAAAUGCAGUCCUUAUAUCUCUGCAGACCUUUUCCCUUGCCAGAAGAUCAUCCCGCUCAGACACUGUUGGCCUGGUCCAGCCUGCUCCCAUCUCCCUGAGACCCUCUGUUCUUGCCAAACUCCAGCCCUUGGUGGGGUCCAUCUCCCCUGAAUGCAGCCCUCUCAGCCAGGUGGACAGGUCCCAGGCAGACCCAGCUGCAACACAGCUCCCUGACCAGCUCUGCACACCCUGCAGGGAACUGACCAGAGCAACUCUUGUCACCUUUUCUGAAUCAGUGGUGUGAAAAGAGAAGCAACGUAUCUUUCAGAAAAAAGUGAAAAUCAUCUACCUCUCAUUAAGGCAUUCUUCGGUUCUGACCUCUGUCAUCACCUGCUAGUGCUCCCUGGAGAAUAGACAGUCACAAAAGUGAACUGUGUUUCUGGCUGCAUAUAACGUCCGACUCUUAGUCCGUGAACUGCCCAUACAACCAUUCCUGUUGCUUCAAACAAGUAGUCCAAAAUUGUCGAUAAAUGCAGUAAACAACAGGCUGCUUUCUUUCAGAAGAAGUUAUAUGAAGUUGUCAUCCAUUUGAUGGCUGUAGUUGCACGCAAGAAGGUUAUAAAAGGAUGACCACAGAUUUUCUUCUGUCGAUGGACGGAGGCUCUUCAACCUCCUUUGGUGUUGCAGCCGAUGCAGUCCAGACCUGUCGUCAGGGGAGGUGCACUGUGAUGGCCAGAGGGAGAUCAGCCUCUCACUGAAAUGAUGCAGAUGGCUCACCUCGAAGUGCUGCAUUUGUACCUAUGAAGCUCCUAUGAUCACAGUCUAGGCAGGGCAUGAUUAAAGAAGAAGAGCCCACCUUUCUGCUGCCCAGCCAAGUUUCAUGAACUUCUUGAGAAGAAAAAAUAAAAGAAGAAAAAAAAGGUUGUACAGGGGAGACUUUACAGACAGGAGCAAGCUGGAUACAAGGCCCUGUCUAUGAGUGGGGAUUAGUUCUGCUUCUUGAAAGUUUACUUGGGCUUGUGUUGUUUCAUCUCUGUCUUCUCUGCUGAGACUGCAGUUGUUCGGGCAUGCUCAGGGAUGCUUGUGGUGAGCCCCACUUACAAGCAACUUCUACAGUAGCCAGUCUCAUGUCACCAACUGACAGCCAGCUACUCUAACAUCUCUGUGGGAGGCUUGUGAUAAAGCCAUCUGGACUCUGGUAAUACGGGACACUGGCAGCUGUAGCAGAAAACUUCAGGUUCUCUGAUGACUGUGGGUUUAGUGCCAGUGUAAAAUCAAAGUGGAAAUGGCCUAAACCAGAAGUACUGAAAGAAAGAUUAGUCACUGACAUAUGAGGGAGAAAAUACGACACCCUGUGAGAGCUGAUCCUUGUAGUGUUGCCCAGGCACCCAGUACUGCACCGUGUGGCCAAAAAUUACCUGUGAGCAAGACAGAGGCUAUUGCUUGCAGACUUCAGGGCCAAGAAAAUCCUCUCAUAUCUCGGUGUCUGCUGGCUGUAGUUCCAGGCUCUGUCAGUGCUGUAGGAGCAAGCUGUCUGGUUUCCCUCUCCGGAAAGUUUGCAGCUGCUAGGAAGUACCCCCAGGAAGCACUGGCAUUCCCAAGGCACUGAGCCCUGGUGACAAACUCAUAGAUUUGUGGGGGUUUGAGGUUGAUGUCCCUAUCUAGGUUUAAUGGCAUCAUUCCACUCCACUUAACUGCUUCCAUUUUACUAAUUUUUCCAAAUUUUCAGUCUGCAAAUCAAAGAUUCUCAUUGCAGCACAACACAGAAUUUUUUAAGUAAUACAUUAUGAUUUUUAUUUUCCUGACUAUAUGCAAAACAGUAUGGUUGUAGUAUAUAGGAACAAUACCUAUCUUAAAGGAACUGUUGUCUAGAUAUAUUAUCUUUUAGAGUAGUUGGUAGUUAAAAGCUGUCCUUAUUGCACCGAGGAAGUAAAAUCCACACUUGUUAGGCUCUUAUUUCAUCCUCUUUCCUAGAGCCUCACCUUUUUGGCCCUGCUAACUUCCAUGUCCAUAAUGAACUCCAUUUAGCUUCCCUGCAGCAGGACCUUGUCUUUGUAAAUCACUGACCCAGCGGCAUGAAGCUGCAUAGGAGAGCAGGUUAUAUUUUUUCUAGAUUUUCUCUACUUCCUUCAGCACUUGUAGCUUCUAAGAAACUGCAGAACAAACAAGUAUAAAAGAUCAGGAAGAUGGCCUGAAAAACUAAUGUUUAAAAGAGGUCUCAUUGUACUCAGUUUUCCACCAGCUGCCAACUAUAGACUGAUGGCUGAAAUCUUAGAAGGAGUUAAUGAGAUUAGGUCUUUAGUGACUGAUUGCUUAAUGCUGUCUUCUCAUUCAGUGGUGUAAUUUUUUUUUUCUUCUUUUCAGUAACUAUAAAUAAACUUCUCAUGGAGAUCAGCUGGGACCUCGUAGCAGAAAUCUUAUUUAAAACAACUGGAAAUUACUUCACCUGGGCUUAAGCCACAGCGUAACAGAUACCUUCUCCUCCAGCCCUGCUUUUCUGUUCUGGAAGUGUACAGGAGGGAAGGGCAACUGUCUCAUCCCCAGUUUUGCCCAGUUGAAGAUAUGCAUGCAGGUCUGUGCCUGUACCUGUUACUUCAGAAAAGCAGAAAAGAUUCUUCUCACAAGAUAUCAUAACAGGGAAACAUCCUUCUGGAACUUGACUCAGGCCAACUGAUGUCUUCUCCCUGCCUGGAGAAAACCUUUGUCCUCCAGGCUGAAGACAGGCACUUGAAAGUAAACCUACCUGGUCUGUCCCUAUGAACCAGCAGUGUUGAAGGUUAAUUAGAAGUGCUGAAGGAGAAAAUCACUUUUUCCAUGUGUGCACCACUUGAGAACCACAGGAUCGGGACUAUUUAUUUGGAUCACUUUAUUCUUUGUUAUCAUCCAAUGGGACAGGCUGAGUCCCAUUUCUCUUCCACGUGAAGAUUUCAGUUUCCUUGGACUACCAUAAAUCCUAAGCAGUGAUCCUGUUUUUUUUUCCUGACAGCAACUCCCAUUGGAGUUUACUUUGGACUUCCUGAAGAGGUGGUCAGAGAGACUAUUCUCAUGGGCUCCGAAAUCCUCCUCUGCUUAGAAUGAUGGGGGGGAGCAUUAGCACAGGCUGGCAUACAGCACCACCUGGGAGAUCUUAUGUUACUCAUUGUGCUGCCCUUCUCUCAGCAGGGCAUGCCCUCGGUGCAGAUGAGGAUGUAUUAAGUGACUGAAAGACAUCAGUUGUUCCCCAAAAGGUGUCAGUUCAGUGUUGCUGUAGAUGAGAGAACUGUUCCAUUUCUGUCCUUAAUCUGAAAUAAUUUUCAGAUUGCUUGCU